GGUCCCUUAAUAAUGUAUUCCUGUUUUGAAGGCGGGGUGAGGGCAUAAAGUUGUCCGGGGGCUU
rnacentral:tRNA from 1 species